rnacentral:rRNA from 1 species
GACGUAGGAGGCGAGCGUUAUCCGGAUUCACUGGGCGUAAAGCGCAUGUAGGCGGUUCGUCAAGUCGUGUGUUAAAGCCCCUGGCUCAACUGGGGGAGGUCAUGCGAGACUGUCGGACUUGAGGGCAGUAGAGGCACGUGGAACUCCCGGUGUAGCGGUGGAAUGCGUAGAGAUCGGGAAGAACACCCGUGGCGAAGGCGACGUGCUGGGCUGCAUCUGACGCUGAGGUGCGAAAGUGUGGGGAGCAAACGGG